GGAAAACUUAGUUUGGAAAUCAUUUCCCAUGGCACCCUUGGACAUGUUUCUAUUGAAUCUAAAUUGGAAGACCAAAUUGGGUUGGCACAGUUAAAAGAUGAGGAACUAAAGCUAAUUAAGAGAAGAAUUGCACAAAAGGAUGAAGGGUACAAGCAUUUUCGACAGGAUGAAAAUGGGAGAGUGUACUAUGAAAACCGACUUGUUGUCCCAUCCAACCCCG
rnacentral:lncRNA from 1 species